AUUCCAGCUUCAGUAGCGUAUAUUAAAGUUGUUGCAGUUAAAAAGCUCGUAGUCGCAUUUCUGGCGAGAGGAAUUGGUCCGACAUUUAUUGUGGGUACUCGAUUCUCUCUCGCCAUCCUUGAGUGGUCCGUUCUGGCAUUUAGUUGUCGGAGCGUCAGCCGCUCAUCGUUUACUGUGAGAAAAUUAGAGUGUUCAAAGCAGGCUUAUGCCGUUGAAUAUAUUAGCAUGGAAUAAUAAGAUAGGACCUCGGUGCUAUUUUGUUGGUUUGCGCACAGAGGUAAUGAUGAACAGGGACAGUUGGGGGUAUUUGUAUUUCGUUGUCAGAGGUGAAAUUCUUAGAUUUACGAAAGACAAACUACUGCGAAAGCAUUUAUCAAGGAUGUUUUCAUUA
rnacentral:rRNA from 1 species